rnacentral:tRNA from 1 species
GGGCCCGUAUCUCAGCCAGGUUAGAGAGAUCGGCUCAUAACCGAUUCGUCACCGGUUCAAAUCCGGUCGGGCCCA